UGCAGCUGAAAGACAAAGAGAUGUGGUUAGAGCACUGCGUGGAUGUACAGGAACAAGGGAACAUCUCUGCCCAUAACAGAAACCCAACGGGUGGCAUCUGGUGAUGGCUCCUCACCACCCACCCAGCACUGUGCACAACCACGUGCCAAACCCCUGAGGAAUGAGAAGAACAUGGGUUCAAUCGCUGUUGCAAAUCAGAGCACGGGCAGCAGCUCCUGGUGUUGCAGGAUGGAUUCAAGCUGUGAGCUGGUGCUGCAACUCCAGUGCCCAUCAGCUGCUUUCUGCCACCUGAGUGCACUCAGGGCAGUGAAUCUGAUUUUCUCCCUGUGGCUUUCUUGAGCCUUUCCUUCAGCCACCUGGUGAGCAUCACCACUGGAAAUCCCAGGUAUCGGUUCCGCAUCAAGCAAGUGGGUGGGCUUGAUUUAAAACUUGUUUGCAUGGUGAGCAGUUGACCUUACCUAAAUAUAUCAGACCAAAAAAAGAAAAAAAACAAAAAAACCCCAACAAGCAGAUCUUCUAAAUCCAGGGAGAGUUCAGCCCUCUGAGCGAUAUUGCUCUGGUUUGAAGGACUGAAGUGGGAACAGCGUGGGUGCCAUGUGGGUGCAGCAGACAUAGCUGUAGAACUGCAUGCUGCUGCGCUGUGCGGUGCUUCUUCCUGUGCUAAAAUACAUGUCUGCUAACUGAGCUGACAUCUGGCACGUGUCAGUGUGGCUGUACUGCUGCUUUGGGUGGUGAAAUGAGAAAACCUGCGAAAGGAAGCAGUUCCAGGGGCAGCUUUCUGCGUCACUUUUGGUUGUACCGUGGAGCGAUGAGCCCAGUGAGAUGGAGAUGUUUUUUUUCCAGGGAGCCACCAUCCAGUGUAACCAUGGGCAAUAUUCACAUCAACUCCAGAAACAACCAGCCCUGAGUCGGAGGCUUGUUUUGCAAAGACUUCCCAAUUCUUUUAUUAGCUCUGAGGUUGACCAUCAGCCACGAUUAAUUCCAGAAGUGUGUGUGAGCGCUGCCAGCCCCAUCCCUGUGGUGCUGGGAGUGGUUGGGCUGCCAGGUCAAGCAAUGAGGAGCCCCCAUGGGUGGCUGAAACCCCAUCAUCACCCCCGGAACUGCUUCUGGGGAGGAUCAGGACACUCCAUCCCAGGAACACUGGCUGGGGCUGCCCCAGGAGCAGCAGCUGGGCAGGCGGGGGGAUUUCAGCUGGGUAAGUCCCACCGAUGUGCACGAAAACGUAAACACUUCAGUUCCUGGUGAGAUACUCAGCUUUUGCCUCUUAGCCAUUUGCCCAAGCUCUUUUCCUCCCUUGUUGAUAUUUACCCGCAUUUGAAGUGGAAAAUGCACGCUGAGGGAGUGCUGGGGUUCAGCCUGGAGCCCGUGCUGUCUCCUCUCCCUGGUGUGCAGCGGUCAGCUGCUCACCAAAGCCGUGAGUUUUCCACCCAAACUGCUGGCGCACGGAGUUGGGGCACAGCCGUGUGCCCCCGGGUGAGCAGAGCCGAUGUUCCCACUAUGCUCACUCCACCCCUUCCCCACAGCAGCCUCCCCAAGACACAGCGAGCACGGAAAAACCUUUUUCCCCCUAAUUUUUACCACUGAGUCUCCUUGCUUUUAGUCACUUAACUUUGGAGGUUUCUGAUGGUUCUUCUCUGCUCAGCUUUCCCUGUCCUCUCCUACUGCAAGCGGCACAAAGCCGCCUCGAUGAGAGGUAGAAACUAGCUGAUCCCUAAGGUCCCUUCCAAGCCAUUCCGUGAUCUACCUGGCACUAACAGUAAGUAAAGCACAACCUACCCCAGCAAUGAGGCUGACCCAAGUGUGCUCCUACCUUGGCAGACCCACGGUGCCUGGCUGCUCUCUCACCGCUCUCAGCUCUCAAAGCAAAAGUGCAACUGCUGCUGCGAGCGUGCAGGCUGUGCCGGCGCAGGGCCCUCCCCAUAGGGCUCGCCUCACUGCUGCUCGUGGUGUCAGAGCAGAGCCCAGCAUGGUGGGUGGUUGUCUUUUUUUUUCCUUCCCCCCCCCAUUUAUUUAUGUAUGUGGUCAAGAGCUCUACGGAAGCACUGCUGCUUUCAGUGGGUUUUGGAAGCAGUGGUUCCUGCCCGGUGCUGUGUGGAGGCAGUGAGUUAUCACCUCUUUGCAGAGCCCCUCGUUGCAAGGGCACAGGGCUAACGAGGCUGAGAGCUGUGUUCUCUCAUCUGUUCGUGUUGGGUAUUAGGAGAAAUUCAUUCUCUGAAAGAACAGUGAUACAGAGCUGCACAGGGAGUGGUGGGGUCACUGUCCCCGAGGUGUCCUGGAGCUGUGGGGAUGUGGCACUGAGGGACGUGGUGAUGGGCAUGGUGGGGUGGGCUGCAGUUGGGUUGGGGAUCCUCGUGGUCUUUUCCGAUCCCCCUGAUUCAUAUGAGAUGAUUUUGCUCUUUUUUUCCUUCCCUAUCACAGGGAUGAGGGUUGGGGCUGCUCUCCCUGUGCCACACUGCUCAGCAUUGCCCAGCAUAAACCUGCACUGUGGGAAUGAGAGUUCACACGCUUUCAAUACGAAAUGCAGAAGCAUUUGCUUACUUCUGUGUUUCUUUAAGUAUUCUUUCCUCCUGCUGAAGGCAAAUAUAGAAAUGGAAGAUCUGAAGAGUGAUGUGGAAAAAUGAACACGUGCAUUGAUUGACAUCUCCUUGGACAUGGAUGCACUGGAAUCAACGGGGAAGGCUUCACCAGGACAGGGCCUUUCCUCUGAUUGGCUUUGUGAUGUCAUGAUAUUGGUGAGCAGUCGGAGCAGUUAUCUCCUGGGAAGGUGUGGGUGCCCCAUCCCUGAGGUGCCCAUGGCCACGGAUGGGCCCUGUGCAGCCUGAGCUGAAGGGCACCCGGCCCACAGUGCAGGGCUUAUGGCUGAGUGUGCUUUAAAGUCCCUUCCAACCCAGCCAUUCUGUGAUUCUAUGAGACCAAGAAGGACUGAGGAUUGCUGAAGGGUUGAGGACUAAUAAUUCAAUUCAUUUUGGUGGACACAGGGACGUGCUCUGGUGCCUGUGGUGGCACAGCCCUGUGCAGGGCUUGCAUCUCCCAAAGCACACGGGCACUUGGCUGCUUGAGCAGCUAUGCCCUAAUAUAUAGAGCUCACAGGCAUUGCUUUUGAAGCCUGAUGAUUACUUAAUGCACGAUAAUUAAUCUUGUGUGGGAGCUGUCAGCACUGUGGUGUGUUCACCGCAGCACUGUCCCUUGGGCUGAGGAUUGGAUCCAUCUGCUAUUGCUGCUGGAAUCAAAGCACUGGGGUUGGGUUCUGCUGCUUCUGUGGCCCUGGGGGCUCUGGGGAGCUGCUCCCUUGGCCUUGUUGGUCCCGCAAGGUUUCCAUCAUUUCUUUUAGGGAUGAGGAACAUCCCUGAGUGCACUGCGCCUCCUGGCAGCUGCCUGUGCUCUCUGCAGGGUGCUUUCAGCCAAGCGACUGUAAGAAAACCCUUUUCUUCUAUCCUGUCCUUCCAAAAUCCAUGUAAUGUAAUAUCUGGCAGUUCCCAGGCUCCUUGGCCCCAGGGCUUGCUAAAUGACCCCCGCAAUGGGGCAGGUUGGGCAGCAGCCGUGCAUGGCUGCCUGGUAUGUUCUGCAGCUCAGGGUGCUCCGCUCCCCCAUCCUGUGGGUUUGGGCGCUGCUUUCAAACCCAGCAAAGUGCUGGGAAUGGGGGCAGCACCCAAAAAAACCUCAUACCUAAACGGCACCCGGGCUCCGAAAAUGGCGUUGUAUUUCCUGCUCAGCUGUGCAGUGGAUGCUUUGCUUUAUGCUUUCAUUUCCGCAGAAGCCGACCUGUUUAUAAGAAGGCAUGGCCCGUGUUUGGGCAGCACUUACUGUACAGAUAAGGUUUUUAUUUCAAAGCUAACUUUGGGAGCAUAACCAUAUCCUGUUUUGGCAGCGCUCGCACUGCGCUGUGCCACAGCCGUCAUCCCCGUGAUGAAGCUGAUUUCGGAAGCUGAAAGUAGGGCUUGCAGUUGGGGUGGCUGCACAUCUUCCCACCACGGGCUGGUGCUAAUGAGCUGGUUUGCUAAUGAGCUGGUUUGCUCGGUGCCGACUUAGCAAGGAGGAGCCCUCCAGGGAGGGCACUCAGGGCAUGGCAUGUGUGCAAGAGGAGCUGGCGCUGCUCUCACCAUCCCAUGGCCAAAAAGUUCUGCCCCCUAUGGGUCGAUGUGGCAGUUGCUGCUAGGAAAGCCUUGCUGCAUGCAGCGAGACUGGGCUGUGUAGGGUCAUGGCAGUGACCCCCCUCGUGUGGGGUGUCCCAGCGAUGCACAAUUGUGAGCAUCAGUGCCCUUUUCUGCCCUUUGUUUGUGCUGUGAGCAGGGAUUUGUGGCUGCGCCGCAUUGCUCUGCUCCCUGUGCUGUGUGUGAGGGGCUGAUGAACAGCCGUGGGUUGCUCGACCGAUGCCACCACAGUACACAUGCAUGCCCCGGGCUUUGCAGGGCAGUGGCUGAGCCCAUGAAGCAAAACUUGGCCGUGGGUCGGAUGAAAUCAUGCCUGGCUGGAAAACAGCUCCCUGCCUCAGUUUGGUUUAAAGCAACAAAAUCUGCUGUUUGUGCGUCUGGGUCAUCCCAGCACUCCAGCCCUGCCUGUGUGUUUGUUCCCAUGCCAGUUGCAGCACUCUGCAGGCUCGCUCCUGGCUAGGGGGUGCGAGCUCUGCCCCCGCUCAGUGCUUCUGCAGAGGCCAAAAAGCAUUGUUGGGCUGGGCUGGAAGUGUGCAGCCACGGAGGGAGGAAAAGGUAUUUUUAGCAGAGAGAAAAGCAGCCGUCCUUCCCUUCCUGCAGCGCCCUCGGAAGUAUUGUGUGCAAGAGGCAUCGCCCUGGCAGUCCUUGUUUAAGGGCUGCAGAAUGUUGGAUGUAUAAUUAAUGGCAUGCGGGUGGAAUAACUCAUUGCCUGUGGAUAGCACAGCUAAUUGCAUGCAGGAUCUCGGGAUGCAGUGCCAAAUGCAGGGAGCCCAGCUUUGCUGCUCACCCGCAGGUGAAUGUGCUGCUGUCAGUCUGAGCUCUCACCCCCUGCUCUCCCUUCUCUCCAACCUUCAGCUUUUCCUGCGCUCCUGCAAAGCAAACUGUCAGAGCAGCCACCGUUGGAAGGGAAUCUCCUCAGGUUUGGGUAAAACCCAGCAAAUCCUCUUCUGCCAGAGCAGAACUGAUGACAAUGAAAAGAAAAGCUUUCACGUAGGCUGAGUGAGGUACAAGAGCAAAGUCCCCUCCCAUCAUCUCUCUGCUCAGGAAACUACUAAAGCUGUUACUCUAGCACCAGCAACAGCAAAAUCAUUGCUGUCCCAUGCAUGUAGUCCCCAAAGGGUUUCUUACUGCCGAAUUUCCCCUGUGAGCUGCGGUGCAGGCAGGGCUGCCUGCUGGAACAGCCGCUGCUCUCUGCAUGUGACAGACUGCUGCCACUUUUGA